rnacentral:tRNA from 1 species
UUUGUUAGUUGAUCAGUCGGUAAAGCAUGAGACUCUUAAUCUCAGGGUUAUGGGUUUGAGCCCCACAUUGGGCAAAA